rnacentral:rRNA from 1 species
GACGAACGCUGGCGGCGUGCUUAACACAUGCAAGUCGAACGGAAAGGCCCUGCUUUUGUGGGGUGCUCGAGUGGCGAACGGGUGAGUAACACGUGAGUAACCUGCCCUUGACUUUGGGAUAACUUCAGGAAACUGGGGCUAAUACCGGAUAGGAGCUCCUGCUGCAUGGUGGGGGUUGGAAAGUUUCGGCGGUUGGGGAUGGACUCGCGGCUUAUCAGCUUGUUGGUGGGGUAGUGGCUUACCAAGGCUUUGACGGGUAGCCGGCCUGGGAGGGUGACCGGCCACAUUGGGACUGAGAUACGGCCCAGACUCCUACGGGCGGCAGCAGUGGGGAAUAUUGCACAAUGGGCGGACGCCUGAUGCAGCAACGCCGCGUGCGUGAUGACGGCCUUCGGGUUGUAAACCGCUUUCGCCUGUGACGAAGCGUGAGUGACGGUAAUGGGUCAAGAAGCACCGGCUAACUACGUG